AGUGAACGCUGGCGGUAGGCCUAACACAUGCAAGUCGAACGGCAGCACAGUAAGAGCUUGCUCUUACGGGUGGCGAGUGGCGGACGGGUGAGGAAUACAUCGGAAUCUACUUUUUCGUGGGGGAUAACGUAGGGAAACUUACGCUAAUACCGCAUACGACCUACGGGUGAAAGCAGGGGAUCUUCGGACCUUGCGCGAUUGAAUGAGCCGAUGUCGGAUUAGCUAGUUGGCGGGGUAAAGGCCCACCAAGGCGACGAUCCGUAGCUGGUCUGAGAGGAUGAUCAGCCACACUGGAACGGAGACACGGUCCAAACUCCUACGGGAGGCAGCAGUGGGGAAUAUUGGAAAAUGGGGGAAAGCCUGAUCCAGCCAUACCGGGUGGGGGAAGAAGGCCUUCGGGUUGUAAAGCCCUUUUGUUGGGAAAAAAAAGCAGCAGGUUAAUACCCCGCUGUUCUGACGGUACCCAAAGAAUAAGCACCGGCUAACUUCGU
rnacentral:rRNA from 1 species